AGUUAUGAAUUUUUAUUUACAUGCUUCACAUGUUCUUAUAACACACAUUUCGUAUUACUGUGUUUGGGGGGUUCCAAAAAGUGCAUCAACUUUGUCAAAACAUUCGUCGAACUCUAUUCCACGUAUGCAAUAGAUACUCCUCAGCUGGUGAAACUUGAUGCGUGAAGAAUAUCAUAAGAAAUGCAUUGCAAUCCCCUCCAAACUAUCGGUGCAGCCCGUAGCCUGUUUGCUCCUAUAAGAAAUGCAUUGAAAUCAUUUACACAUUAUAGGAGCAGACUGUCAACCAGAGGUGAACGCCGACUAUUUUUUUGCUCUAUUUUUGAAGAUUUUAAGUGAGUUUAACACCUGUUGAGUUUAAUAAUAAGUUGUCUUUCCUAAGGAAAUAAAUUAUUUCUCUGACUUUA